UUGCCUACGGGGGGCAGCAGUAGGGAAUUUUCGUCAAUGGGCGCAAGCCUGAACGAGCAAUGCCGCGUGAACGAGGAAGGUCUUCGGAUCGUAAAGUUCUGUUAAGGGGAAAAAGAGCGGAGAGAGGAAAUGAACUCCGAUUGAUAUUACCCUUCGAGGAAGUCACGGCUAACUACGUGCCAGCAGCCGCGGUAAUACGUAGGUGGCGAGCGUUAUCCGGAAUGAUUGGGCGUAAAGGGUGCGUAGGCGGCCUGCUAAG
rnacentral:rRNA from 1 species